UACGUAGGGGGCUAGCGUUGUCCGGAAUCAUUGGGCGUAAAGCGCGCGUAGGCGGCCCGGUAAGUCCGUUGUGAAAGUCAAAGGCUCAACCUUUGAAAGCCGAUGGAUACUGCCGGGCUAGAGUCCGGAAGAGGCGAGUGGAAUUCCUGGUGUAGCGGUGAAAUGCGCAGAUAUCAGGAGGAACACCGGUGGCGAAGGCGGGUCUCUGGGCCGAUACUGACGCUGAGGAGCGAAAGCGUGGGGAGCAAACAGG
rnacentral:rRNA from 1 species